GACCCCUUAGCUCAGCGGUAGAGCGUCGCAUUCCAGUUGCCUUUGAUUCCCAGCUGUGUCGCGAAGGCCGUCCGUUCAAUCCGGGCAGGGGUCA